rnacentral:rRNA from 1 species
GACGUAGGUGGCGAACGUUAUCCAGAUUUAUUGGGCGUAAAGGGUGUGUAGGUGGUUAUGUUAGUCUUUUGUUAAAUUCUUCGGCUUAACCGGGGGCAUGCAGAAGAAACGGCAUAACUAGAGGAUGCGAGAGGUGAACGGAACUCAUGGAGUAGGGGUGAAAUCCGUUGAUAUCAUGGGGAACACCAAAUGCGAAGGCAGUUCACUGGCGCACUCCUGACACUGAAACACGAAAGCGUAGGUAGCGAAUGGG